GAACUUCUGGAAGGCUUCCUGAAGAACACCGACUACAGUUCUGCAAUUAGGUUGUUGCUGAGCACCGGCGAAGCGAGUUCCUAUGUACUCAAUUGCUAGCAGGUACCGCUGUAGCCUAGGAUUAGGAUUCAUUGUUCUAGUAACUGACUCUUUCUGCUCUUCUCCUUCAACAACGUCGUUGCCGCCGUCGUCGUUUACCUUGGGCAGUUUCGACGGCCG
rnacentral:misc_RNA from 1 species